rnacentral:rRNA from 1 species
GACGAACGCUGGCGGCGUGCUUAACACAUGCAAGUCGAGCGGUAAGGCCCUUCGGGUACACGAGCGGCGAACGGGUGAGUAACACGUGGGUGACCUGCCUCUAGCUCUGGGAUAAGCCUGGGAAACUAGGGUCUAAUACCGGAUAUGACUCCACGGCGCAUGUUGUGGGGUGGAAAGCCUUGUGUGGCUAGAGAUGGGCCCGCGGCCUAUCAGCUUGUUGGUGGGGUGAUGGCCUACCAAGGCGACGACGGGUAGCCGGCCUGAGAGGGGCGACCGGGCCACACUGGGACUGAGACACGGCCCAGACUCCUACGGGAGGCAGCAGUGGGGAAUCUUGCGC